rnacentral:rRNA from 1 species
AGAGCGAACGCUGGCGGCAGGCCUAACACAUGCAAGUCGAGCGCCCCGCAAGGGGAGCGGCAGACGGGAGAGUAACACGUGGGAACGUACCCUUCAGUUCGGAACAACCCAGGGAAACUUGGGCUAAUACCGAAUACGUCCGUAAGGAGAAAGAUUUAUCGCUGAAGGAUCGGCCCGCGUCUGAUUAGCUAGUUGGUGAGGUAAUGGCUCACCAAGGCUACGAUCAGUAGCUGGUCUGAGAGGAUGAUCAGCCUCACUGGGACUGAGACACGGCCCAGACUCCUACGGGAGGCAGCAGUGGGGAAUAUUGGACAAUGGGCGCAAGCCUGAUCCAGCCAUGCCGCGUGGGUGAUGAAGGCCCUAGGGUUGUAAAGCCUUUCGGGCGGGAAGAUAAGUGACGGUACCCGCAGAAGAACGCCCCGGCUAACUUCGUGCCAGCAGCCGC